CGUGGAAAUAAUAUAGCCAUUGGAUGGAUGGAUAGACUUAGAUGGAUCAUUAGGGCCAUUUAUACGGGACAAAAUAAGUCGCGACUUACAUAAGACGCGACUUAAAUAAGUGGAGUCAUCGCAUAAAUGGUUCUCUUCGGCUUUGGUCUUAUUUAUUUGCUAUAGCUACGUUGUUUUGGUUGUUUUUGUUUUAAUAUACAAGGCAUUAAAUUUUACGUUGUUUCAAGUUUCCGGCAUGUGUAGUUAGACUUUUUGUCCAAAAUUUCUUAUUUAAGACGCGACUUAAAUAAGAACAGCUAAAAGACCUGUUCUUAUGUAAGACGCGUCUUACAUAAUAAUUUUGUACCUUUUAUACGACAAGCUCGCGUCUUACUUAAGACGCGUCUUAUGUAAGUCGCG